UCCUAAUGGUGUGACUCUUUA
rnacentral:piRNA from 1 species